UGUGUAACAGACCCAUAGAACGGGAGUGGCACUUGUUGGUAAAUUAUUAAAUUAUUUUAUUAUGGAUUUGUGGACAUACACUAGUGUUAGAAAGCAUAUGGAUUUGUGGAAUGAUUUUACCCUUCUAUAUAUUGCUUCAUUUUCUGUUAAUUUUCCUUAACCAUGACCUUGCAAUUUUUUUUCUUUUAAUUUAUGGAUAGAUUUACGAGAGAGCGAAAAUUGCAUAUGGAUUUGUAUGGCCAGAACAAUUAUUUACGGCUGAGAACAUGACCUGGAAUGAUGGUGCAAAAACAAUUACAUGUGGCCUUGCUGAAUCAUCGAUGCUGCGAAGUGCACUCUUGGAGCAUGGUAAUCUCAUACGAUAUGCUGAAAAACUUAAGACAGAUUUCUUGGAGGCUGGAUCGUCUUCUUCUGUCCCGCAAUUCCUUUCAGACGCUUCAUCAAAUUCAAAAAGACGUCUUUCAAAUUCAGGCAAGAUAUUUUCAUCUUUUAUUCUUGUGAAUAUUAUAUUGGUCAUCUGAUAGUGUCUUGAGUUGUGGAUUUACUAUACCAAACCAGCCUCCAGAUCAUGUUUCAGUCAUCAUCAAACUAACAAUUUGUUGUUUAAGAUGCUUCAAGAAAAAUAAAAGCCAUUGGGAAAUAAGAGGUCAAAAAGUACCAUCCAUGUCUCUUUUCUUUCAAAUAGAAUUUCAACUAUUUUCAUGUGUUUUUAUCACUAGGCUCAAAACCUAAGAAGCAACCCGAGAGGGAAAGGACAGAAGAGGAGAAAACUUUCAGAAGAAGGGCAAGAUACUUUCUAGUAACACAAGUAGUUGCAGUUUUAGUCCUUCUAUCUGUCAUCAGCAGUAAUGAUUUUUCUGAGGUGGAGGUUGAUGAUGAUGAAGAUGAAGAUGAAGAUGAAGGGUUCAGUUAUGACUGAAGAAGCAUUCAUUUUUUGUCAAAUUUGUAUUUUCCUUGACAAUUUUUUUCCUCAUGACAAUUCAGUCAUGGACAUCACUGUGAGAAAGAUAGUUUCCUUUUCACC